GAUGAAGAACGUAGCGAAAUGCGAUAAGUAGUGUGAAUUGCAGAUUUCAGUGAAUCAUCGAAUCUUUGAACGCACAUUGCGCCCUUUGGUAUUCCUUAGGGCAUGCCUGUUCGAGCGUCAUUUAAACCUUCAAGCUCAGCUUGGUGAUGGGUGACUGUCCGCUGCCUCCCCCCGGGGUGCGCCGCGGACUCGCCUCAAAACGAUUGGCGGCCGGUACGUUGGCUUCGAGCGCAGCAGAAACGCGUAACUCGAUGUCCCCGUGGCGGCUCCCAGAAGCAACCUUAUUAUUUUGACCUCGGAUCAGGUAGGGAUACCCGCUGAACUUAAGCAUAUCAAUAAGCGGAGGA
rnacentral:misc_RNA from 1 species